ACGGGGGGUGCAAGCGUUGUUCGGAAUUAUUGGGCGUAAAGCGCGCGUAGGCGGUUUGUUAAGUCUGAUGUGAAAGACCCGGGCUCAACCUGUGUAGUGCAUUGGAAACUAGAAGACUUGAAUACGGGAGAGGGUAGUGGGAUUGCUGGUGGAGGGGUGAAAUCCAAGGAAAUCAGGAGGAACACCGGGGGCGAAGGCGGCAGACUAGAACGGAACUGACACUUGGACGCGAUAGCGUGGGUAGCAAACAG
rnacentral:rRNA from 1 species